GGGUAACCUGCCCAAGAGAUCGGGAUAACACCUGGAAACAGAUGCUAAUACCGGAUAACAACAGAUGAUGCCUAUCAACUGUUUAAAAGAUGGUUCUGCUAUCACUCUUGGAUGGACCUGCGGUGCAUUAGCUAGUUGGUAGGGUAACGGCCUACCAAGGCGAUGAUGCAUAGCCGAGUUGAGAGACUGAUCGGCCACAUUGGGACUGAGACACGGCCCAAACUCCUACGGGAGGCAGCAGGA
rnacentral:rRNA from 1 species